UACGUAGGAGGCAAGCGUUAUCCGGAUUUAUUGGGCGUACAGAGAGUGUAGGCGGCUCGUCAAGUCGAACGUAAAAUCUUCCGGCUUAACUGGAAGGGACCAUUCGAUACUGACGGGCUGGAGUGCCGUAGAGGAAAGCGGAAUUCCCGGUGUAGUGGUGAAAUGCGUAGAUAUCGGGAGGAACACCAGUGGCGAAGGCGGCUUUCUAGGCGGCUACUGACGCUGAGGCUCGAAAGCGUGGGGAG
rnacentral:rRNA from 1 species